rnacentral:lncRNA from 1 species
GCCGGGUUGUGAGUGCAAGCGAUACACUAUUCUGCGCCUGUCGGAAAGUGACAACCUGGUGAGGUGUGAAUAUUGUGACCACGUCCCAAAUGCACACGGAAAAAUAUGUGAUCUCGAAACGAAAAAUGCAGCCGAGGCAAAGGCGCAAUGCAAUGUGCCAGGCACCGUGUUUGAGGCCUCAGUGUCAGAUGAAACCGUGGAAGCUUGCACAUCUAGUCUCUCCUCGGUGCAAUAUGCAGUACAAGUUUUUACAUGGACAGUUAACACGAAUUUAUUGACGACAUGCAUGGCUGAAACACGGUGAUAUGAUUUUAAAAAUUCCUGUGAUAUGAUGCAAGUGAUAGUUUGAAUUUUCAGAUCUAGUCAUGUGCCAGCAAGGCCUGCUGUAUUUGUGGUGUAUUCUAUGUUGUAUUUUCAAAUAAAGAUGUUGCAUUCUGAAGUUAACCUUA